rnacentral:rRNA from 1 species
UACGGGGGGGGCAAGCGUUGUUCGGAAUUACUGGGCGUAAAGGGCGCGUAGGCGGUCAGCACAAGUCAGUUGUGAAAUCUCCGGGCUUAACUCGGAAAGGUCAACUGAUACUGUGCGACUAGAGUGCGGAAGGGGCAACUGGAAUUCCUGGUGUAGCGGUGAAAUGCGCAGAUAUCAGGAGGAACACCGGUGGCGAAGGCGGGACUCUGGGCCGAUACUGACGCUGAGGAGCGAAAGCGUGGGGAGCGAACAGG